CUUUAAAUAGGUAAGACGUGU
rnacentral:misc_RNA from 1 species